UACGGUGGGAGCAAGCGUUGUUCGGAUUUACUGGGCGUAAAGGGCGCGUAGGCGGCGUAACAAGUCACUUGUGAAAUCUCCGGGCUUAACCCGGAGCGGCCAAGUGAUACUGUUGUGCUAGAGUGCGGAAGGGGCUACUGGAAUUCUCGGUGUAGCGGUGAAAUGCGUAGAUAUCGAGAGGAACACCUGCGGCGAAGGCGGGUAGCUGGGCCGACACUGACGCUGAGGAGCGAAAGCGUGGGGAGCGAACAGG
rnacentral:rRNA from 1 species